GAAAAAUGAUAUUUUUUAAUGAUUGUUCAUGCAUUAGGGCAAACCCCUGUGUGGCAGGAGCAUGAUGAGUAAAAAAAAUGAAAUAGUAGAAAGAAAGAGGCCGAAACAUAUGGCACGUGGGAAUAAAGUUGCUUUAUAUGUUCCAAGCGAAUGAAGCAAGCGAGAAAAAACCUUUCGUGCAAAUCUAAAUUUGAGACAGAUAUCUUACCUUACACUUUUCCUAAUUUUGGUUUCUUUAAUUCCCUUCAUUUUUUUAUAUCUUGGUUGUACGUAGAACAUUCGGGGGGCAUGCACUGGGCAUAACCCUGGCUUGUGUACCCCAGUGCUAAAUCAGCAGGUGGGUUUUGAUAUCUCUGGAUCUUUAGCAAUUUUAAAACUUUUUAUAGUUGUAAUGGAUGAGAAAAUCCCUGCAAUCUGAUUGGUUGAGAGCAAUGCAAAAAUUUUACUGGGCUGCAUGAACGAUAUCCCGAUAAUCAAAACGCAACGAUAUCCACUGUAAACAAGCAAUCGUCCGAAAAGGUCAUUGUGAUGUCAUCGCGCAUGUACUGUUACCGUCGCUUGUUUACAUCAAAAUUUGAAUUUCGAUCAAAGCAGAAUGAAUCAAAGGAUGCAAAAUGAUCUAUUCCCAUUCAGCCAUUGGACUGAACCGGUACCAAGACCGGAACUGUAACACAGUAAGGAUGGUCAAUAUGAAGCGAGCUUCAUUGAAUUCCUCCAAGAGCUCUGUACUCUGUUCUGAUCAUUUUGAAGAUGCUUGCUUUGACCUGGGCAGACGAUACGUCUUAAACAGGAUGCUGUCCCAACCAUAUUUGAUUUCCCGCCUCGUCUUCAGAAGAAUUCACCCAAACCAAGGUAUUUCCCAAAAGACUUUUCGAUUCAGCAAACAACCUCCCAGAUACUGCAAAGACACCAGUGCCAAAGUCUUCAGCACCUUAAUUUCUCGAAGACCACUCCUACUGAAUACCAGAAAGUCCAAGAGGGGUAAAGUGGAAGUCAACAACAAUAAUGGACUGUAUUAAAACUUGAAGAGGCUGAAAACCACACAGAAGUCCUACCUUAUACAUUACUUGCUUUUAAGUUUGGACAAACAUUGAUUUGCACAACUUUACAACAAAAAAUUUACGCUGUGUGGAUUCUGAUUAUUUAAAAUAGCUCAAUGAAAACGUUUAUCACUGGGCAUGUAACAAAAAUGAAUUCAUUGAAUUUGAAGAUGUCUUACAGUAUAUUCAUUCUGAUUUGAAUGUCAGAAGAGAAAAAAGUUUGUGAAAAGUAGGAAUGACGGCAAGCUGACAGAAGAAUAGAAUACAUGUAGGAUAGAACAAGGCCACAGUUAUAAAUGAGCUGUUGGAUAGAGACAAAAAGAUGAAUUAAGAAUGGGGGUGAUAGAGAAAUAGAGACAGGAAUUGGGGAGCCUGUGAUGAAUGCCUGAGAAAGUAAAAUUACCAUAUUUUAUUUUUUUAAGGAUUUGAACAGUCAGGAAGAAUGUGGUCUUUUUUCUGUUAUUUCUCAAAAUACUGGUAUGUUUUGUGUACAGAAAGGGGUAUAAUCCUUUGCAAUAAUCACUCUCACAGAAAAUAUUAACUAAUCAAAAGAAAAGUCAAAUAUUUCACUG